AGUGAACGCUCGCGGCAUGUAUCACAUAUAAAAGUAGAACGGUAACAGGGAGCUUGCUCCGCUGACUAGUGGCGAACGGGUGAGUAAUGUAUCGGAACGUACCUAUUAGUGGGGGAUAACGUAGCGAAAGUUACGAUAAUAACGCAUCUUCUCAGAGGAGGAAAGCAGGGGACGUUCGGUCCGUGCGCUAAUAGCGCGGUAGAUAUCAGAUUAGCUAGUUGGUGGGGUAAAGGCUCACCAAGGCGACGAUCUGUAGCGGGUCUGAGAGGAUGAUCCGCCACACUGGAACUGAGACACGGUCCAGACUCCUACGGGAGGCAGCAGUGGGGAAUUUUGGACAAUGGGGGCAACCCUGAUCCAGCCAUGCCGCGUGAGUGAAGAAGGCCUUCGGGUUGUAAAGCUCUUUCGGCCGGGAAAAAAUCGCAUUGGUUAAUACCCUGUGUGGAUGAUGGUACCGGAAUAAGAAGCACCGGCUAACUACGUGCCAGCAGCCGCCGUAA
rnacentral:rRNA from 1 species